CAUCGAUGAAGAACGCAGUGAAAUGCGAUAAGUAAUGUGAAUUGCAGAAUUCAGUGAAUCAUCGAAUCUUUGAACGCACCUUGCACCCUUUGGUAUUCCGAAGGGUACACCCGUUUGAGUGUCAUUGUAAUCUCACUACAACUACUUUAUUGUUGUCUGUAUGUGGAUCUGGAUGUUGCCGUGUAACAAACGGCUCGUCUGAAAUGCCUGAGUGUACCCUGCUUUGCGGCGUAUUCGGUGUGAUAAAUCUUCACCGGAGUUGACUUUCGGGUCGCGUUCUGCUUAACACGGCUCUAUGCUUCCAACCGUCCUAACAAGACAACCUUUGACAAUUUGACCUCAAAUCGGGUGGGACUACCCGCUGAACUUAAGCAUAUCAAUAAGCGGAGGAAAAGAAACU
rnacentral:rRNA from 1 species